CGCUGUGGAGCCAAGAACACACAAGUCCUGCGGCAUUGUCUCAUGUGUGUCUGAAGAUCCCAAGUCUUCCUCUCUGCUGUGAAGCAAGGCCCAUUUGCACACGAGGUCUAUGCUGUGUGGAGGGUGAACUUGGUCACAGACUUUCUAGCAGAUGUAGAAACCAAAGUAUCCAGAAAAAUGGGACAUAUUUCAUGAAGAAUCAUGUGUUUUUCUGAAGCAAAAAUCUUCUUAAGCUGUGUCAGGAAAUGGAAACUCAAUUAGAACAAUACAAUGGCAACAGAAAGCCACAGGUGGCCCUUUUAGUCUGCUCCUAUGAGCAGCUGACCUCUGGAUUUUGUUUAAAGUGUCCAACUCCAGAAUUUUACUUUCUGGGUUGACAAGGAAAUACGCUGAAGGAUAUUUGGUGAGAAUCACAGGACAAGACAACCCAGAUGGCAUCUUCAGAGAAACAUUUCUGUUGAAACCUCUCCAAAAGAUCAAAAUCAUUGUUCUUCACCAUCUUCCAGUUUCUCUGUGUCCCUCUCCCAACCAUCACAGUUGCUCAGGAGGGUGGCCCACCCAUACAACCAUUGUACCACAGGAAGCUUUUGAACAAGUCAUGUUUAUUAAGGCAUAAUUUAGAUAUGAUAAACUACAGCUGGAUCAGUUUUUGACAAAUGCGUAUAGACCUGAAGCCAUCACCACAAUCUAGGUACUGGUACUCUAUUUCCAUAACUUUGUGAAUGAUCAAACAUGGGAAGUGAGAUACAGAGCAGACCCAUAGAAUGGCAGAUGUCCUAAACAGCACUCUGGCCUCAGAAUCAGCCCUUAAGGCAUGCAGAUCCGGCUGAAAAGCCCAUGAGAGUAUUUCAGGCAUGGAAGCCAAGACACCCUGGGG